rnacentral:rRNA from 1 species
CUUGUACACACCGCCCGUCACACCAUGGGAGUGGGUUUUACCAGAAGUAGUUAGCCUAACCGCAAGGAGGGCGAUUACCACGGUAGGAUUCAUGACUGGGGUG